CCUACGGGCCGCACCAGUGGGGAAUAUUGCACAAUGGGCGCAAGCCUGAUGCAGCCAUGCCGCGUGUGUGAAGAAGGCCUUCGGGUUGUAAAGCACUUUCAGCGGGGAGGAAGGCGCCAAGGUUAAUAACCUUGGCGAUUGACGUUACCCGCAGAAGAAGCACCGGCUAACUCCGUGCCAGCAGCCGCGGUAAUACGGAGGGUGCAAGCGUUAAUCGGAAUUACUGGGCGUAAAGCGCACGCAGGCGGUUGAUUAAGUUAGAUGUGAAAUCCCCGGGCCUAACCUGGGAAUGGCAUCUAAGACUGGUCAGCUAGAGUCUUGUAGAGGGGGGGUAGAAUUCCGUGUGUAGCGGUGAAAUGCGUAGAGAUGUGGAGGAAUACCGGUGGCGAAGGCGGCCCCCUGGACGAAGACUGACGCUCAGGUGCGAAAGCGUGGGGAGCAAACAGGAUUAGAUACCCGAGUAGUC
rnacentral:rRNA from 1 species